GAUGAACGCUAGCUACAGGCUUAACACAUGCAAGUCGAGGGGCAGCAUUUUCUAGCAAUAGAAGAGAUGGCGACCGGCGCACGGGUGAGUAACACGUAUCCAACCUGCCGAUAACUCCGGAAUAGCCUUUCGAAAGAAAGAUUAAUACCGGAUGGCAUACGAAUAUCGCAUGAUAUUUUAUUAAAGAAUUUCGGUUAUCGAUGGGGAUGCGUUCCAUUAGUUUGUUGGCGGGGUAACGGCCCACCAAGACUACGAUGGAUAGGGGUUCUGAGAGGAAGGUCCCCCACAUUGGAACUGAGACACGGUCCAAACUCCUACGGGAGGCAGCAGUGAGGAAUAUUGGUCAAAUGGGCGCAGGCCUGAACCAGCCAAGUAGCGUGAAGGAUGACUGCCCUAUGGGUUGUAAACUUCUUUUAUAUGGGAAUAAAGUUUUCCACGUGUGGAAUUUUGAUGUACCAUAUGAAUAAGGAUCGGCUAAACUCCGUG
rnacentral:rRNA from 1 species